GGCCUUGCAGCUCAGCUGGUAGAGCAUGCGCGUACAAAGCGUAGGCGGCGUCCAUGCAUGGGUUUGAAUCCCACCGAGGCUA
rfam:Echinostoma caproni strain Egypt genome assembly, scaffold: ECPE_scaffold0004686